UGAUAAUCUAUAUAAUACCCCAACAUGAAGUAUUAAAUACCUAUGAAACGAAAGGAAAAACAACCUCUAGGAAAGGGAAAACAACGUCUACGAAAUCAAUCGAAUUCAUCUUCCUAGACUUCUCCAAGAAAAUCUCUUCGAACAUUUUGUCCCUACAAGAUGUGAUGGAGAGUGUAUGGUAUGGAAUAUCGCUAAUGAUAUCUCUCAAGUACCAUGGUGCAUCGGUCCUGUUGUUAAUGAAAUGGAUUAGGAUGGCUGCUUCCGAUCCAAAGCAGGUACUUUUGUGUUCUAACCGUCAUAAACUUAGUCCACGUCUUUUCCUUAAAGUUGUGGUUAUCCCUCACCAUUGUGUCAUUGGUGCUCCUGAACUGGUGGUGUAUUUCCCAAGACUCGUAAUAUUGUUAGGCAAAGUCUCUAUACCUAGAAGUGGUGGUAUAUUUCCCAGACUUGGUAAGCUGGACCAUCUUGAUGAUGAACAUCUUCAUAAUACAUUUUAGCCGCACCAAGAAUUCACUUGGCCAUCCACAAGCCACAACUUUCUUUAUACCUUUUUUUUUUGGUUUGGUAUAGUGGUCUUCCACCCAAAAGUAAGGAGUCUGAAAAAUAAUAUGUAGAUAUCUUCCAAGUUCCGACACAAUAAAAACGGUGUAAAGUGUAAAGAAAGAGUAUUAGAGUACUUUCCUUUCUUUCUUCAUGUUCGGAUUUUGACAAUCUCAUCGUUUUUUCUCUCCCAUUUUCUCUCGGAACCAAAAAAAAAAGUACUUUCUUCAAAAAUUUAAAUCCUUGAUCCUUCCGGUUUUGGUUUGAUUUUUCAGAUCUACCGGACGGAUCGAGUUUGUUUCCUUGUAUAUAUUUGUUUUUCAAUAAAAAAAUUGUUUCUAAACAAUUUUUAUGUUUUUCUGAUUAGUCUGAUGGUUUCACAAAAUUAUCAGGACCUGUUUUCAUAUUUUCUAAUUAGAUUUUUUUUGGUGGAUUUGGAUUUGGAUUUGCAUUGCUCUUGAUGAAAACGAUCUACUUCGUCAAAUAUGGAGAUCGUUUAUAAAGAAAUUAUUUGGGCAUAUUAAUUCCCUUUUAUGGAAGCAUCUGAUAUCUUUGAUGAUCAAGAAACAAAAUGGUUUAAAACCAUUAUAAGGAUUUCCAAUCCUUUAAAGGGCUGCAGAAGUUUAAUAGGAUUUUCAUAUCUCAUUUCUUUAAGUUUCGAUUGUAAAUCUUGUACCAUCUGUAUUGUCCUGUUUAUUAAUGUAAUUGAUCAAUGUAAUCCUUCAAACCUCAAUUUGAAUGAGGUAUUCUAAUAAAUACUCCCUUCGUCCCUAGUUA